rnacentral:rRNA from 1 species
AGAGUUUGAUCCUGGCUCAGAACGAACGCUGGCGGCAGGCUUAACACAUGCAAGUCGAACGCGCUUUUCGGAGCGAGUGGCGCACGGGUGAGUAACGCGUGGGAACCUGUCCUUGAGUGGGGAAUAACCUUGGGAAACUGAGGCUAAUACCGCAUACUCCCUUUGGUUGUAGUGGCCGAAGGGGAAAGAUUUAUCGCUCAAGGAGGGGCUCGCGUCAGAUUAGGUUGUUGGUGGGGUAAAGGCCUACCAAGCCUGCGAUCUGUAGCCGGUCUGAGAGGAUGGUCGGCCACACUGGAACUGAGACACGGUCCAGACUCCUACGGGAGGCAGCAGCUAAGAAUCUUCCGCAAUGGACGAAAGUCUGACGGAGCGACGCCGCGUGGGUGAUGAAGGCCGUGAGGUUGUAAAGCCCUUUUCUGCCUGAGGAAUAAGGUUUGGAGGAAAUGCCAAACUGAUGACGGUAGGGCAGGAAUAAGCCCCGGCUAAUUACGUGCCAGCAGCCGCGGUAACACGUAUGGGGCGAGCGUUGUUCGGAAUUAUUGGGCGUAAAGAGCGCGUAGGCGGAUAUAUAUGUCCGGUGUGAAAUAUUACAGCUUCACUGUAAUGCUGCGCUGGAAACGAUAUGUCUUGAGUACUUGAGGGGGAACUGGAAUUCCUGGUGUAAGGGUGAAAUCUGUAGAUAUCAGGAAGAACACCAGAGGCGAAGGCGAGUUCCUGGCAAGAGACUGACGCUGAUGCGCGAAAGCGUGGGUAGCAAACAGGAUUAGAUACCCUGGUAGUCCACGCUGUAAACGAUGGACGCUAGUUGUCGGGCGGCAUGCCGUUCGGUGACGCAGCUAACGCGGUAAGCGUCCCGCCUGGGGAGUACGGCCGCAAG